AGAGCCUUGUGGAGAUGCUCUAAGAUUUUAUCACUUAUUGAAGAGCCACAUCAAUUAGGGAUGACCAGACGAACCUAGAUAAUCUGGUCCGGGUUGAACCCAUACCUGAGUGUUAAAAAAUCCAGUAUCCGAAAUGGAUUUUAGUGAUCCGGACAUAUCCAGGUCUAAUUCCGGGUUUGGUUUAACUCAUAUGUCCUGAAUCCGGACCCGGAUAUCUUAUUGUAAUAUUAUUUUUUAAUUAUAUUUAUUAAUUAACAUAAAUACAAACCAAAAAUACAAAACCCUAAUUUUAUCUAUUCCUCUUCCUCACAUAUCGCAGCUGCCGCCUGCUGUAGGAAAAGUGCCAAAUACGGUCUAGGCUGCUGCUGUCGUUCGCCACCGUCGCAACUCGUACUCUCGGGUUCACCACCGUCGCAGGCAUGUAGCUCCUCUAUUUAUCAUCAUCGGUCCAGGCUGCUGCCCUUGGAAGCUAGGGUUCGCCACCAUCGCUGACGCCUUGCAUCUUCUAUCAGAUCGCUCACAAUUCGACCUCGACACCGCUCCUUCUCUUUGUUUGCUCCGCUCUCUGUCUCUCUUCAACUCCAUUCGUUUACAUCUUCGGUUUGGCCACAUGAGACCAAAUGACUGGAUUAAUCUUUAACUAAUCCAUGGAUCUUCCUUCAUUUCCUUCGCAACCAAACAGGGGCCGCUUUACCUUGGAUUAACAUGCUAAUUAUUUUUGCGUUGUAGAUUUGUGUUAUAUAUUUAUAUUUGUGGUUGUUUUAUUACUUGAAAUAUAUUUCAAUUUAUGGAUUUACAUUAUUGGAUGUGCUAUUGCUUAGAAAUUUGUAUUGUUUAUGAAUGAUUUACAAUCUGGAUGUGUUUUUACUUGGAAAUGUAUUAAGAUUUUAUUUUUAGAAUUUUAGAAAUUGAUUCAUUGAUUUGGGUUCAAAAUCCGGAAUCUAAAAAUCCGGAUUUUUCUGGGUUGAACCCGGAUCGGACCUAGAUGAAAAAAAUUGGGUUUUAAUCCGGGUCUGGAACCAGAAAGGCUAAACUCGGACUCGGACCCGGACCCGGACCCGAACCUGGAUUUUACCGUCCCUAACAUCAACAUUUAAGACUUUAAAAAAU
rnacentral:lncRNA from 1 species